CGAGCAAGUUCAUUUGCACAUUCUUCAUGGAGCUCAAACUACCCUCUUUCUCUAGCCUUACUAGGAAAUAUCCACCAGCUUUUCGUCUCUUUACCACAUCGCGCGCUUAGAGACUUGGCCAAGAAACAUGGACCCUUCAUUUACCUAAGACUUGGACAAGUUCCAACCCUAGUAGUUUCAUCAACAGAGUAUGCCAAGGAAGUGAUGAGAACCCAUGAUGUCAUCUUUGCAUCUAGGCCCCGGAGUCUAUUCGCACAGAUCUUGUUGUAUGAUUGUAUAGAUGUCGCCUUUGCUCCAUAUGGUGAGUAUUGGAGACAGCUGCGGAAAAUUUGUAUGCAGGAGAUCUUGAGCACAACAAGAGUUGAGUCCUUCAGACCCAUGAGAGAAGGAGAGAUGUUUGAUCUCGUGGAAUGGAUUGCUUCAAAUGUCGGGUCAGCUAUAAACCUCACUGAGAGGAUUAAAUACUCGACAUAUAGUAUAACAUCGCGGGCGGCCUUCGCUGCGUCGCCUUCGAGUUUAUGGUGCUGAGCAUACUUACCGAGAGCGACUCUAGGAGCAGUGCGGAGUAGCUGAGUUGCUACCACCUAAUUAAGAG